UACAGAGGUCCCAAGCGUUGUUCGGAUUUACUGGGCGUAAAGCGCACGUAGGCGGAUCGUUAAGUCAGGGGUGAAAUCCUGGAGCUCAACUCCAGAACUGCCUUUGAUACUGGCGAUCUUGAGUCCGGAAGAGGUGAGUGGAACUCCUAGUGUAGAGGUGGAAUUCGUAGAUAUUAGGAAGAACACCAGUGGCGAAGGCGGCUCACUGGUCCGGUACUGACGCUGAGGUGCGAAAGCGUGGGGAGCAAACAGG
rnacentral:rRNA from 1 species